rnacentral:rRNA from 1 species
CGAGAGCUCGUGCCCGUAGGCGGUGUAAGACGGAUGUGGCGAGCGCGGGCCGGGUGUAGUGGGCGUAAAGAGCUGGUAGGCGGCUUGUGUCGGCGAGUGGGAAAACACAUGGCUCAACCAUGCGGUCUGCAGUGGAUACGGGCAGACUAGAAUUCGGUAGGGGAGACUGGAAUGCCUGGGGUAGCGGUGAAAUGCGCAGAUAUCAGGAGGAACACCGGUGGCGAAGGCGGGUCUCUGGGCCGAUAUUGACGCUGAGGAGCGAAAGCGUGGGGAGCGAACAGGAUUAGAUACCCCUGUAGUC